rnacentral:rRNA from 1 species
UACGGAGGGUGCGAGCGUUGUCCGGAAUCAUUGGGCGUAAAGGGCGCGUAGGUGGCCCGGUCAGUCCGUGGUGAAAGCGCGGGGCUCAACCCCGCGUCGGCCAUGGAUACUGCUGGGCUGGAGCACUGUAGAGGCAGGCGGAAUUCCGGGUGUAGCGGUGGAAUGCGUAGAGAUCCGGAAGAACACCGGUGGCGAAGGCGGCCUGCUGGGCAGUUGCUGACACUGAGGCGCG